rnacentral:rRNA from 1 species
ACCCACCUGAUUCCAUCCCGAACUCAGAAGUGAAACGAAACAGCGUCGAUGGUAGUGUGGGGUCUCCCCAUGUGAGAGUAGAACAUCGCCAGACU